UUUUUUAUGAUGAUAAAAUAUGUCAAAAGCAAGUAGGGACAUGAGAAUAUAAAAUGUGUUCGCGUUUAUAAUAUCUGAAAAAA
rnacentral:snoRNA from 1 species